CGCUCGGUGGCACCGCUCCCCUCUCCACACUGUGGCCUCAGCACUCGACGCGCAGACACCUUUAGCUUCCCCGGGCUUGGGCAGGGUGCGCGCCCUGAGCGUCCGUCUUUGAGCUCGGGCGAGCAGAGGGGGAGCCUCGUUUUCUUUGAGCCUCCCCAGGGUCUGAGUUCGCUGCUAACCGUAGUGCCAGCCCAUUGGUUGAGUGCGUUCACUGUGCCAGGCUUUGGGCAUCCAUUAUCUGUUGCAAUAUUGUUAUACUCAUUUUACAGAGGAGGAAACUGAGGCUCGGGGAGGGAAGUUGUGCCCAGGAGCAUCAGCUGGUUAAGGGGAGAGAGUCAGGGUUUUGCUCGGAGUCAUCCUGAUCCAAAUCACUUGAAUACACUGAGACCUUAGUACAAUAAUGAAUUGAAGAAUGGCCGGGCACAGUGACUCACACCUGUAAUCCCAGCACUUUGGGAGGCCGAGGUGGGUGGAUCACCUGAGGUCGGGAGUUUGAGACCAGCCUGGCCAACAUGGCAAAACCUCAUCUCCACUAAAACUACAAAAAUUAGCCAGGCAUGGUGGUGCAUGCCUGUAGUCCCAGCUACUUGGGGGAAUGAGGCAGGAGAAUUGCUUGAACCUGGGAGGCAGAGGUUGCAGUGAGCUGAGAUUGCACCACUGCACUCCAGCCUGGGUGACAGAGUGAGACUCUGUCUCAAAAAAACAAAACAAAAAGACAGUGGACAUCUUGCCUUUUACAGCUCUUAUGGAAGAGCUGUCCACAUUUGAUAAUGAGGUAUCAUGUUUACUCUAGGUUUUUGGUAGAUACUCUCUAUCAGAUUAAAGAAGUUCCUUUCUAUUCCCAGUUUGCUGAGUGUUUCUUUUCUUUUUAGUUAUAAAUGGAAAUAGAGUUUUAACAGAUGCUUGUUCUGCAUCUGCCCAGAUGGUCACAUGAUUUUUCUUUUUCAACCCGUUAACAUGAUGCAUGACAUCGACUUCUGCAUUUCUGGAAUAAACCCAAUUUGAGUCAUCCUGUAGCAUCUUUAUUUCCAGCUUAUAUUUACAAACCCUUUUGUUUAGGAUUUUAAAAUCAUGAGUUCAUGAGUGCUGUUCACCAGUGAUUUCGUUUCUCAUGCUUACUUUUCAGGCUUUGGUAUCAAGGUUAUGCUGGCCUCACAAAAUGAUGUGGGCAAGAGUCCCACUUUUCUGUUCUCUGGAAGAGAUUGCACAAGAUGGGCGUUGUUCUUCCUUGAGUGUUCAAUGCAACUCACCAGUGAGGCCCCCAGUGGAUGGAUGCUAACGUGGAGGGUAGGGAGGAAAGCCAGUUUUGAAGGAGGAACUUGCUACCAAUCAGAGGCUCAGCCUGCCUCUGGUGGAAGUAAACAGAGACUGCGAACCUGUCUGUCCUGAGUACCAUGGGGAGAGCCCAGCCUUGGACUCUGGAUGAGAGUUCUUCUAACCAGACAUCCAGAUGAAGGGGACUCAGCCUAGGGUGAAACCUUAAUAUCUGCUGAAGUCUCCAUCUGCUUCUACAAUUGCAGCUGCUUCAGACAGUAUACCUGUAUAUUGUUACUUCCUGGUGGCCACAGAUUGAGGGACAGUCAGAUUCCAUUGACCAUUCCUGUGCCAGUUUUUAGGCCAGGCUCUCCUUCUCUGUCAUGUUAUCAGUUUUUGUGGAAUCUCCAUAUUAUGACCUAAGGGCCAUGCCCCUUUCUGCCAAUUCACCUUUUCCCUACCCCCAGGAUAACUAGGUUUGAGCAAUUUUCUCGGCUGGAAUCUUGCCUCAGUCCUCUUUUUAAUAAAGUGCCAGGCACUGUCCUAACUUGAAUUAUCUCUCUUAACUCCCUUAACAAUGCUAUGAGGUAGUUACUGUUAUUCCAAUUAUUCAGAUAGGAAAACAAGGUUUCUCACUGUCGUUAGUUUAAUGGUUUCAUAUUUUAGACUAAAUUAUCGCUCUCUAACCUAUUUGGGUUUUGAAGAAAGAUAAAAGUCUAAAUUAAUUUUCCUUCUCACAUACUUAACCAAGGUCCUCAUCCUGUUCCCCUUCCUGUUUAUUAAAUCUUUCUUCCUUUCUUCCCCACCUUUCUUUCCUACGUCACCUGCAGCAGCACUAAAUUACAAUAUAUCUUUGGAGGCAGAGCCACCAAAUCACACUCAACUCCAGGGAACACCAUUUGCACAGUUCUGUAUCUUGGGCCUCAGGGCACGUAACCUGGAAACCCAGUCAUUGACAGUAGAUCUCUUUCUGAACUGUCUGUUCUGAUCUGUUGAACCAUCUGCCAAUUCUAAUAACUGACUAUCAGACAGGGCCAUGGCAAAAAACAGAGGGCACAUCCCAACUGGGUGAUUGAGAAAGGUUUUGAUAAAGAGCCUGUUACCUUGUAUAGACCUUUUGGUCUGGUGAGCUAACAUGGGAUAGUGCAGUACCCUAGAGUAUCAAUGGGAAGAGGAGAGUUGUUUCUGCCUCCAAGUUUGGAGGAGCAAGAGAAGGGAAUAAACACUCAAUGUCAUUCUCCUCCUGCCCUGCCUGUGGCCAAACCCAAGAGAAGGGAAUAAACACUAAAUGUCAUUCUCCUCCUGCCCUGCCUGUGGCCAAACCCAAUCAGAAGUGGGUGGACAGCAAGAGAGCCUUUGAUGUGGUUCAGGGGCACAGAGCACAGGAGGAGGACCGGAGAUCUGUGCCAUGCUGGUUUGAUGAUUGUUUGUAUAGGUUGUAUUUUAAUAGCUAACAGAGGCAUCUGCUUUCUCUUCUUUUUUCAUUUCUUUCAAACUUUUCCAGGCAAUUUUCACUUGGUUUGCUCUUUCAAGAGUGUUCCUUUUAUUUACUUGCUAGCUUUUCUUUGUUCCUGGAGAGAAUCACUAAUCAUCAUUAAAUAAGUACAUCCUGCUGCCCCUUGCCCUCGGCCCAGGUGAGGCACAAUUCCACCACCAGCCCACACCUGUGGUCUGGAGAGUCUGUGGACGUGAUUGUUGAUCCCAGGCUCAUAUGGGAAGCCUGGUUUUCUUUCCUCUGUCCUUGGUGUCUGACUACUUGAGUGGCGGGGCCACCCUGAUGAGCCUAACAUGGGCCUCUGGUAGGGUCUGCAUUCAUAACAGAGCGCCUGGCACUUCAUGGUGCUCACAAACCUUUGAAUGGAACGGCUUUCCAGGCAUCUUGAAAGUGGUAAGAAACACUGGGCAAGGAUAAGUUAUUUUCCCUGUUGUAUCAGGAGCUCAAUAAAUAUUUUUCAGUUGUUUA